rnacentral:rRNA from 1 species
UACGAAGGGGGCGAGCGUUGUUCGGAUUUACUGGGCGUAAAGGGCGCGCAGGCGGCGCAUUUUGUCAGGCGUGAAAGCCCCGGGCUUAACCUGGGAACUGCGUUUGAUACGGAUGGGCUAGAGUUCGGGAGAGGAGAGUGGAAUUCCCAGUGUAGAGGUGAAAUACGUAGAUAUCUGGAGGAACACCGGUGGCGAAGGCGGCAUCCUGGACCGGUAUUGACGCUGAGGCGCGAAAGCCAGGGGAGCAAACGGG